AUGUAUUUUUAUUUUUAUUUUGAAUAAAAAAAAAAAAAAAAAACACUAACUUUCGAUUUCAUAAAUUUUGAUUUUAUUUUUGUGUUUUGUUAUGACAAAGAAAAUAAUGCAAGAUACCAGAUAAUAAUUCUAUCAAAGUUUUUUGGUUUACGUGAAUGGUUAUAAUAUUGUUCAAGUAUAUAAAUUGGCGUUAAUCAUCAACAUUUCAAUAGUCAUCAGUCUCAACACGCAUAGUAGAACUAAAUUGAAAAGUUAAAUUUAAAGAUUCAAACUUUAAAUGUUCAAAAAAUGUAAGAAUUAAGAUUGAAAAUGCCACCAUUAAAAAAAUAUUAAAACUCUGGUAGCAACCAUAUAUUUACAGAAUGUAUAAAAAAAAUUUGUGAAGUGUGGCUACACGUUGACCAGUCACAAGCCGAGCAGUCCAUGGUGAAUAAAUGAGAAAAACCCAUUCUAAGAAUUUAUUUUCAAUCAAAUUACGAAAAUAACAACACCUACAAGCUGUUUUUUUCCAAUUUAAGAAUAUAGAAAAUUAAUCAAAACGAAAUAAUUAUCGAUUUGUUUAUCAUGAAACCUUUCAAUAGAAUUUCAAUGUUAAUAGAAACUACUUUCGAUCAAUCCUACUAUUGACAGUAAUAAGUUUCUUAACACAGGAACUAGAUGGAACAACUGAUGAAGAUAAAGACGUUAAAAGCUGAACAGUAGAAUAAUUUUUAUUUGGAUGGCAUCUAUUACAUUUUUUUUUAAAUUUAUUUAGUUAAUUAA